CUCGGCUUCCCCCUCCUACCAGGCACCCGACUCCACCUCCAUGCCGAUUCCCCACCCACGCCGUGGGCGUCUGUCCUCCCCAGCCGCUCCGGCCGUCCGUCUCCGGUCUCCCCCGCCGCCGCCCGCUCAGGCCGCCGCGCGCACAAGGUUCCGGCUCCGCCGCACCGGCUCCUGGCCGCCCACCCCAUCAGUCCGCCGCGCCGCCCGCCCGCCCGCCCCGGCCACUCGCGCCCGGGCCGCAGGGGCGCCGUACCGCCGUCGUUCCGCUGCGCAGGCAGGGCGCUAGGGGUGAGCGCACUCACGCAAGCGUGACAGCCAUCACCUCAGCCGACAGAGCAAGAAACCAGCUGCGCCCAGCCAGCCACUGAACCAAGGGAAUUCUUAUUGCAAAUAAAGGAUGAGGGUAUUAUAAGUAUUUUCAAGCCAUGAAGGAACGUGAAAGGGAAUUCUUAUUGCAAGUGAAGGAUGAUGACAUUAUUAAGUAUUUCAAGCCAUGAAGAAAUAUAAAGUUAUCUUGUAAUUUGUAAGCAUUUUUAUCAAUGUCAUUUGUUGUUUUAGAAUUUUCGCAUCUAUUUAUUUCAGAUAUUUCCACUUUGAUAUGUUGAUCAUGUAGUACGUCUAUUAUAUCUAUAUGUUGAACAAUUUCAAAUUAUGAACAAUUUGUGUUAUCGGUACUCAAUUAUGUGCUGCUAA